rnacentral:piRNA from 1 species
UUUUUGUAACAGGGCUACAUUCUGCAAA